CUCAUUCUGUUCCAGCCCAUUGUUCCAAUUGCCCAUUCUUUACAUUUAGGGAUUUUAAAUGCAUGGGUAUCAAAAGGGUUUUUCCAUUCUGGCAAGGUGGUGAUAGGGUCAAGAAAUUAUCCCAAAGGGAAACAUUUUGGAUACAUAAAUUGAGAACCCUAGAACCAAAGGGUCUGAAUAUAGGUAUUGACCUAGUUUGUUUUCU